rnacentral:rRNA from 1 species
CUACGGGGGGCUCCAGUGAGGAAUAUUGCACAAUGGGGGGAACCCUGAUGCAGCAACGCCGCGUGGAGGAUGACGCAUCUCGGUGUGUAAACUCCUUUUAUAUGUCAAGAAAAUGACGGUAGCAUAUGAAUAAGCACCGGCUAACUCCGUGCCAACAGCCGCGGUAAUACGGAGGGUGCAAGCGUUACUCGGAAUCACUGGGCGUAAAGGACGCGUAGGCGGGUUGGAAAGUCAGGUGUGAAAUCCUACAGCUUAACUGUAGAACUGCACUUGAAACUUCUAAUCUAGAGUAUGGGAGGGGGAGAUGGAAUUAGUGGUGUAGGGGUAAAGUCCGUAGAUAUCACUAGGAAUACCUAAAGCGAAGGCGAUCUCCUGGAACAUUACUGACGCUAAGGCGUGAAAGCGUGGGGAGCAAACAGGAUUAGAUACCCGGGUAGUC